GCUGUGCCCAGGGCUGUGAAGCGCUCGGCUGCCCGAACGGUCGUCCCUAGAAGAUUCUUUCGCCAGCCCUCAACGCAGUGAGAACGGGAGGAGAGAACUUCAACUGCGCAAAAGAGGGGAGCCGCUCCAGGGGUUUCCAUAGUAACCGUGGCGGCCCCGGUGCAUUUCGCUUCCCUCAGGGGCCAGAGAGCAGCGGAUCUCAGCGCGCAGCUGACGCAGGUCUGCGAAGGAAGGGAACCCGAGCCCCAGGGUGACCUGACUCACCGCGUCCCUUGACGGGUACCUUUUCUCUUCAACACCGCCCUGGCACACUGUCCGUUUGCCUCUUCUCUUUGCUUGAUCUCACACAGGCAAGGUGGCAUCGGGUCCGGACAAGGGCUGGUGUGGAAGAGGAAGGCUGGUGCAGGAGUCUUCGUCUGCUGGCAUCUGUCCCUGGAGCCUGUUCUAGGGGAGCAGCAGGACCUGUGGUGACAGACGCUGGCUCUGGGCCCUUGGGGGCGUCCCUCUCCUAAUUAGGGCCUCGCUUCUCUUGUGUGUGUGUUUUCAUGUAUGUACGUAUUUUUCUUUCCACAUUUUAACUUAGUGCAUAUGAAUUAGGCAGACUGAUGGGUUUCACGCGGCAGAUGUGUACUCUCACAUACCAUACUGUAAACAUCCUCCCAGCCUUCCCUUGUCCCUUCUAGUUUGUGUGUGUUUUUUGUUUUUGUUUUUAUAAACAAUAGCACAAAUCUGCUGUUAUAGCAUCAGAAACUCAGGGCUUUGUAAAUUCAAGUACAGGCUUUCCCUCCUCUUUGUUUUGGUUUUAAAUCUGUUAUUAAUUUUGCAUUGUGGAGUAAGAAUCUUUCUGAAAAUUUCUGCGUCUCUGCUGGCCUACUUGAGAUAGAGAAGAGGAGAAAGAGGAGAAUUUACUCUGCACACAGGUCGGCUGGAGAGAAAUUCCAGAGGGUGGUGCCAUUUUUUUUUUUAAACCUUCUGAGUCACUGAAACGUUUUGUACUUGGUUGAUCUAAGGGGCGAUUCUCUCAUAAUAUCCGCAUCUAUUUUCUCGCCCUCUGGAAGGGGCUCUGAAGCCGACAGCCACUUCCUACAGUAUUAAACUUCAGCUGUGACAAGUCAAGGUUUCCAGAGUUGUUCCUGGCACCUGAGGACAUCUGUCAUUGCGAAGAAACAGCAAUCUCUCCCGGCAAUGUGGAGCAGUUACACCGGAACUGCUUUCCUCUGAGCGGAGACUCGGCAGCGAUCCUCCUGCCUCAGCCUCCUGAACGUUGGGAUCACAGGCUUUCACCACCAUAUGCCUGGCCAAGACCGCUUUUGCAAGCAUCUUCUUUGAUGACCAUGGAGUUGCCUGCAAAUAUACCUGGCUGGUGGAUGUUUGGUUGCAUUGGUUUUCUCCAUGGUGAAUGAUGCUGCAGCCAUGUGAGCUGAACGCUUGUCUUUCUGGAUUUCGGAUCAUUUCUCUGCCAAUGUCACUGCCCGUGUUUUGAGGAGCCAUCUCAGUGUGAGAAUGAUCAUCACAUUGUGCUCUUCCCAGAGCUAAGGACUGUGAAAUUUUAAAUUGUUUUUUUACUUCAUCGGAUGGUGUUAUCCUCAUAUGGGGGACCC